AGCCUGGUCAGAAAAACUGCAAGGACAGUGACAGUGAAAGUGCCAGUGGAGACUCGAAAAAAUCACUCCGGGGCAGUCCUCACGAGAGGCUUAGUGACAGCUCCGCUCCUUCCGGGUUGUGUACAGGCUACUUUUGUGACACUGAGAGCGACCAAGACGAGAAGGUAGGAUCUUAUAUUUCAAAAUUAUUUAAGAUACUAGCAGAUAUCAUAAAUGUAGGUAUGGAUGUUGGUAUAUAUGCUUCCAUUGUAAAAACGAGACACUUGGCAACUCUGAAUCGGAUUAGCUUUCAUCUUGGUGUUUUUAGAUAAGGGCACCAGUUGCUGGGAAUUGAUGCGCUGGCAGAAGGGGGCUAUGCAUCUCAGAUUUCACACA